ensembl:lncRNA
CUGACCCCAACCUCCGUCCCCUCCCACCCCUCAGAAGCAGCAGGCGGCGCACCAGGAGGAGCGGCGGCGGCGGGAGCGGGAGUGGGAGGCGCGGGAGCAGGUGCUGGGCGAGCGGGAGGCCGGGCUGCGGGCCGAGGAGGAGGCCGCGGCGCGGGACCACGCCGCCCUGGGGGCGGAGCGGGAGGAGCUGCAGCGGCGGAAGGAGGACUACCAGCGGGACCUGGAGAGGCUGCGGGAGGCCCAGCGGCGGCUGGAGCGGGAGAGGGAGGCGCUGCGGCGGGAGACGGAGAGGCUGGAGGCCCUGAGGAGCGAGGAGUCCGGUGGGCUACAGAAGUUCCAGCGCACGUCCUCCUCCACUUCGGAGGAAUCCCUACGCUUCCACAGCUCCAGCUCCCUGGACCAGGAGUCCAGAGAGGCCCCAGAAGCUGCCAAAGAGGUGGAGCUCUCCUCCUCAGCACCGACCAAAGAGCCCUUCCUGCGCAUAGGAUCCAAGCGCAUGGGCAAAAACUUCAACCCUUUCUCCUCCUCCUCCUCCUCCACCUCCUCGUCAUCCAAGCCCCAGGGAGGGGACAAGGAUGCCCAGCUCCCCAACCGACUGCUCCAGCUGGCCAAGACCAAGCCCAAGAAGGAGAAGAAGAAGAAGGGGAAAGGAGGAGAGCGGGAAGAGACAGGUACCACUUAAAACGCCAGGCCCUGGUGAUGUCUGAACCCCACGACGACGGAGAGGUCAUUUUCUGCUGAUGGAGGGCCGGUGCGGCACGGACAGCCCAACCCCCCCCGCCCCUCUAGCGUUGGAGACGUCAGUCCGUGGAGAGCCCCUUCCACUCUGCCCUCUCCGGGGAAGGGGUGCCAGGGAAGUCUGUUGAGCGAGGCACUUCUACUCUACAGCUCGUCCUCCUUCUCAACGGACCGUCGUAGCAACAGGUAGCACAAGGCCACACGCACUUUCUAGCCCCCCCCCCCACACAGAGCGUCUCUUCUGGACCGCCCCUUCCCGGACCACUCUGCCCGUGUUGAAACGAUGAGACCUUAUGGAAGUUUAGUGUGUGUGUGUGUGUGUGUGUGUGUGCGUGUGUCUCAGGUCCCCAGACUUUUAAACAAAGUAAAACGAGUGGCUGGUCACAGGACCACAGACCUUUACAGUUCUGCAACUGGGAUGAGGAUGAUGAUGACUGGGAGAGUUGGAACGAGACCGUAAAAACAUGCAGCAUGUGCAACAUGAAGUACAACAAGCAGAUUUGAUCCUUUUCUUGAUCGGUGCUGAUCCUCGAGUCUUCCAAAGGAUUGAAAGAAAAUGAACACAGCAACUGUCCAGCUUUAGGAAGAAGCAAUAAUAACCUAACCACCACUUUUCUUGUCUCUGUUGCUAAUGCCAAACGUGAGGUUUCCCCUCUGCAUUACCACAAUAAGUACUAGCAUGUUUUCUUUUGUAUAUUCUGAUUGGUUGCCAGGGUUGCAAUAGUUAGGAGAGAGCUCGCCGUGAGAUAUGGAUUCUAUGUUCAAAAGUCUUCUUUCUUUUUAGAAAGACUGAAGUGUUCUUUUUUUUUUCACCCACUUUGUAGUUAAAUGGUGUGUGCGUGUGUGUGUGUGUGUGUGUGUGGUCAGAGGUUGAAAGGUCAGAGAAGGUUAGCUAAAAUAUAAGUGAUGGGGGACAGAGAAAUGACUUCAAUCAAUGACCUCGGGAUAAAGGGAUGUGUUCAAUGAGGGAUCAUAUCUUUGACUGGCAUUGAAGAAGAGAGCCAGAGAUGGACAUCUGGCCAAAGACUCUUCUGGACCCUGAUCCAUUUACCCAUGUUCCUUUUUUCCCCCUUCUACAUUUUCCUCUGGAAGAGCUUUUAUCCACAUUAAAACUCACUUUCCCAUGAUGCUCUAUUCUGGAUGAUCGCCUUAUCUAGUUCCCAAGCAGUGGCCAUGCAUUAAUUAAACAGCUACCAAGCGUGUGAUGGACCGUGUUAGAGGGAAAGCAUUAGGAGAACUCAAUGAACCACUCAAACCUAACUGCCUUCAGCCACUGCUUGGCUGCUAGUCCCAAGUAUACACCAGCAAGUGUUAAUUACAAUACAUGUCCCAUCUUGUCAAGUCAGUCCCCAAAUGAAUGAACUCUCGGCACCUCAAUCUAGCAUGCCAGGGAAGGAAUUUGCCGCCUUCUGUUGGUCUCCCUGUCUCCCAUGGAAGGAUCUUUUUAUAACGACGGAGCUUCUCUCUCCUCUCUCUCUCUCUCUCUCUCUCUCUCUCUCUCUCUCUC